rnacentral:rRNA from 1 species
UACGAGGGGUGCAAGCGUUAAUCGGAAUUACUGGGCGUAAAGCGUGCGUAGGUGGUUUGUUAAGCAAGAUGUGAAAGCCCCGGGCUCAACCUGGGAACUGCAUUUUGAACUGGCAAGCUAGAGUAUUGUAGAGGGUAGUGGAAUUUCCAGUGUAGCGGUGAAAUGCGUAGAGAUUGGAAGGAACAUCAGUGGCGAAGGCGGCUACCUGGACAAAUACUGACACUGAGGCACGAAAGCGUGGGGAGCAAACAGG